CCUACGGGUGGCAGCAGUGGGGAAUAUUGGGCAAUGGAGGCUACUCUGACCCAGCAACGCCGCGUGAGUGAUGAAGGUCUUCGGAUUGUAAAACUCUUUAAGUGGGGACGAAGAAAGUGACUGUACCCACAGAAUAAGCCUCUGCUAACUACGUGCCAGCAGCCGCGGUACUACGUCGGAGGCAAGCGUUAUCCGGUAUGACUGGGCGUAAAGGGUGCGGAGGUGGUUUGACAAGUUAGUAGCGUAAUUCCGGGGCUCAACGUAGGAACUACUACUAAAACUUUUGGGCUUGAGUGCAGGAGAGGUGAAUGGAAUUCCUAGUGUAGCGGUGGAAUGCGUAGAUAUUAGGAGGAACACCAGUGGCGAAGGCGAUUCACUGGACUGUAACUGACACUGAGGCACGAAAGCGUGGGGAGCAAACAGGAUUAGAUACCCGAGUAGUC
rnacentral:rRNA from 1 species